rnacentral:lncRNA from 1 species
UUUUGUUUAGAGAAAGAAUUUUGUUUUACCAAAAUUAUUUUUUUUAACUCCUUAGAAUGUGAUACUUAAGAAAAUAAUUUUAGCAUAUUUGGUUGACUAUAAAAAAAAGUAGUACAUUCUAAAAUGACUUAUGUUUGAUUGAGCAUCUAUUUCUUAGAAAAGUUGUGUGAAAUAUUUAUUAUAUCUUUAAUAAAGGAACAAAUCUUAUCCAUAUGUUUUGAUGGAUUAAGAAUAGUUUUGAAAAAAAAAAAUCAAUUUUCAACCGAUGGAAAAAUAGUUUUUCUAUGUCUCUUAUAAAUUUCUUUUUUUCCCAUGAAAUAUAGAAUCUUAUUUCUUUGAAAAUGCUAGUUUCUCACCUAUUUCUUUUGAAAAUUCUAACUAAACAAGAGGUCAUUCUUCAUUUUUUUCAUUGACCAUACUUUUCUCCUCCUUUUUCCACGAACUAAAUAAGUCCUUUUGUUGUUUUUCUCUUCCUUUCCCAAGGCUAAAACACCAAAAAU